AAUGACAGAAGGGAUAAUGACAGAAGGGAUAAUGACAGAAGAUAUGACGACAGGAGGGAUGGUAACAGAAGUCGCAAUGACAGAAGACUCAGUGACCGGAGGGAUGACGACAGAAGAGACAGAAGAUAUGACGACAGAAGGGAUAACGACAGGCGAUAUAAUGACAGGCGUCUUAGGGGCUCGUCGUCUAAUAAUGAUUAUAGGCAAGCACGAUACCGCGACAAUUACUAUGAUCUGAAGAAAUGAAACGAUCACACAUCUCAACAAAUAUAACAAGACACCGGCAAUGAUUAUGGAAACUCGAUUAUAUGUUAAAUAAGUAAUUAAUCAAUGUAUUAUUAAAGAGCAUAGCUGCAGCACAAUAA